UUGACCUCGGAUCAGGUAGGGAUACCCGCUGAACUUAAGCAUAUCAAUAAGCGGAGGAAAAGAAACCAACAGGGAUUACCUCAGUAACGGCGAGUGAAGCGGUAACAGCUCAAAUUUGAAAUCUGGCCCUUUUAGGGUCCGAGUUGUAAUUUGUAGAAGAUGCUUUGGGUGUGGCUCCGGUCUAAGUUCCUUGGAACAGGACGUCAUAGAGGGUGAGAAUCCCGUAUGUGACUGGCGGCCUUCGCCCGUGUAAAGCUCUUUCGACGAGUCGAGUUGUUUGGGAAUGCAGCUCUAAAUGGGAGGUAUAUUUCUUCUAAAGCUAAAUACUGGCCAGAGACCGAUAGCGCACAAGUAGAGUGAUCGAAAGAUGAAAAGCACUUUGGAAAGAGAGUUAAACAGUACGUGAAAUUGUUGAAAGGGAAGCGCUUGCAACCAGACUUGCAUGCCGUCGAUCAUCGUGGGUUCUCCCGCGUGCACUCGGCGGCGUUCAGGCCAGCAUCGGUUCCGGUGGUUGGAUAAAGGCCUUGGGAAUGUGGCUCCUCUCGGGGAGUGUUAUAGCCCUCGGUGCAAUGCAGCCUACUGG
rnacentral:rRNA from 1 species